GCGUUGUUCGGAUUCAUUGGGCGUAAAGGGCGCGUAGGCGGCGGGGUCAGUCGGGUGUGAAAUCUUGGGGCUUAACCCCGGAACGGCGCUCGAAACUGCCCGGCUGGAGGGCCGGAGAGGAGAUCGGAAUUCACGGUGUAGCAGUGAAAUGCGUAGAGAUCGUGAGGAAGACCCGUGGCGAAGGCGGAUCUCUGGACGGCUAACUGACGCUGAGGCGCGAAGGCCAGGGGAGCAAACGGG
rnacentral:rRNA from 1 species